rnacentral:rRNA from 1 species
UGGGGAAUCUUGGACAAUGGGCGCAAGCCUGAUCCAGCCAUGCCGCGUGGAUGAUGAAGGCCUUAGGGUUGUAAAAUCCUUUCGCCGAGGACGAUAAUGACGGUACUCGGAGAAGAAGCUCCGGCUGACUUCGUGCCAGCAGCCGCGGUAAUACGUAGGGUGCGAGCGUUAAUCGGAAUUACUGGGCGUAAAGCGUGCGUAGGCGGCUUCGCAAGUCAGGUGUGAAAGCCCUGGGCUCAACCUAGGAAUUGCGCUUGAAACUACGGAGCUAGAGUUUGGCAGAGGGGGGUGGAAUUCCACGUGUAGCAGUGAAAUGCGUAGAUAUGUGGAGGAACACCGAUGGCGAAGGCAGCCCCCUGGGCCAAAACUGACGCUCAGGCACGAAAGCGUGGGGAGCAAACAGGAUUAGAUACCCGAGUAGUCCCUGAGCGGGCUGGCAAGGCGCAU